ensembl:lncRNA
AUUGAAUCUGUUUCAGUCACUACAAUUGACAGACUGCUCAGGAGGAAUGAAAUGCACAUGAAACAAUAGUACAAUGUGCCAUUUGAACGGAACAGCGACAGAGUGAAGGAGCUCCGUCACCAGUAUGUAUAAGUAAAACAUCAUGUACUGGAGCUGGGGGGCAGGAAACCGCUGCACUCAAAUAAUAUACCUUGAUGAGGCGGGUUUCAAUCUGGCAAAAGGUAGAAGACGUGGAAGGAAUCGCAUUGGACAGAGAGCAACCAUUGAUGUCCCAGCUAGGCCAAUGAGGAGGGAAUAUUAUUAUGUGUGCAGCCAUCUCAGAAAACUGCGUCCUCACCCAUAUCCCCUGUCUUGGUCCAUACAACACACAACAUCUGCUGACUUUUUUAGAUACUCUUUGCAGGGACAUAAUCCCUGAGAAUGAAAGGGGUCUAACUGGAGACCAUCUGAGCAAGCAUGUUGUUGGUUUGGGUAAUGUCCGUUUUCACCACUCAGUUGUCAUCAGACAGUGGUUUGCAGCACAUGACAGGAUGCUGGUGGCAUAUCUCCCUCCCUACUCACCAUCCAAAAUCCAGUAGAGGAGUUUUUCUCUUCCUGGAGGUGGAAGGUAUAUGACCGGCAUCCACAUACCCAAAUGGCCCUGCUAGCGGCCAUGGAUGCAGCAUGUGAUGACAUCACAGCAGAGUCCUGCAGAGGGUGGAUUCGCCACUCGAGGAGAUACUUUCCUCGCUGCAUUGCAAGAGAUGAUCUUCGCUGUGAUGUAGAUGAAAUUAUGUGGCCAGACAGAGAGGAACGUCUGGAUGUGCAUGAAUGAUUACAGUACUAUGUAUGUUGUAUGUUCAGUUCCAAUAUGUACUGCAACAUUGUUUACAGUUGUGCACAGCUCUACCCAAAGGGAGUUUAUGUUUGUUGUAAAUAAGGGUGUAUUUUUUCUUUUGCACAAUGCUGUGAACAAAUUAGAAUUGCAAAGAGCAUAUGCAGUAAAAAUGUGAAACAUACAUAUUCAGUGUCUUGUACUCAGUUACCUCACUAAAUACAGUAAUGUGUAACUUUACUGUAUUAUUCAAAUGCCUGUGCAGAUAGUAUAUACAUAGUGCUGUCUUGAGGAUUUUCAGGUAGUGUCAGCAAGAUCUGACUUUUUUUGCAUUGGAAAACUUUGACAGAGUAAACUGUCAUAAUGAAAACAUGGCAAAGCCAUUUGACUAUCUUGUUCAUAAACAAUGGUGUCAGGAGGACUUUUCAUCUUGAUGACACUGACACUUUCAUUGACAUGAAUACUUGCUUUUGAGGAAUGACCUAUCCAUUUUGAGCAAGUGACACACUUUUGCAGGUUAUCAACUAGGUUUUGCAGUUUGUAGUAAUUGUUUUGAGAACUGCAUUAACUGUUGUGCAAAUGUAAAUAGUGAUGUGAGAAAUGCACCAAAGGGACUGAGAAAAACUGUAAGAUUCAAGGGAAUGUACUUCUGAAUGGGGUCAUUUUUAUACAUUUAGUUAUUAUUUUGUCUUGUGGAGUAUAUGUAAACAUCGGUUAUGUGAAAUAGCUUAUUCGGGACAGUAUUAAAUAAAAAAUUACAUGCAAUUUUCA